UUGCCCACUGGGGGCUGUCUGUGCCUCUAGUGGCCAUAACGGAGGGGUAUAAAGACACAUCUUGCUAAAACCCAGUUUGGAUUACAAACCUCUGAACCUGGAUCCUGUCGCAAGGGACAUAU